rnacentral:sRNA from 1 species
CUUCCUUUCUUUAUGGCACAUCUAUCUUUUUGCCCAAUUAAUAGAAAAUCAUGCUAUUUUUCAUCAUCACAGUAUUUUUUUGCUAUGUUUUUAUUGUUGUUUUUACCAGACUGUUUCAGACUCCAAGCCAGAUUUGUCACUCCAGCUGAUCUUCUUUGAUGGUGAAGAGGCUUUUCUUCACUGGUCUCCUCAAGAUUCUCUCUAUGGGUCUCGACACUUAGCUGCAAAGAUGGCAUCGACCCCGCACCCACCUGGAGCGAGAGGCACCAGCCAAGUGCAUGGCAUGGAUUUAUUGGUCUUAUUGGAUUUGAUUGGAGCUCCAAACCCAACGUUUCCCAAUUUUUUUCCAAACUCAGCCAGAUGGUUCGAAAGACUUCAAGCAAUUGAACAUGAACUUCAUGAAUUGGGUUUGCUCAAGGAUCACUCUUUGGAGGGGCGGUAUUUCCAGAAUUACAGUUAUGGAGGUGUGAUUCAGGAUGACCAUAUUCCAUUUUUAAGAAGAGAUGUUCCAGUUCUGCAUCUGAUACCGUCUCCUUUCCCUGAAGUCUGGCACACCAUGGAUGAUAAUGAAGAAAAUUUGGAUGAAUCAACCAUUGACAAUCUAAACAAAAUCCUACAAGUCUUUGUGUUGGAAUAUCUUCAUUUGUAAUACUCUGAUUUAGUUUAUGAUAAUUGGUUCUAGAAUUGAAUUCAAAAGUCAAGGCAUCAUUUAAAAUAAUCUGAUUUCAGACAAAUGCUGUGUGGAAACAUCUAUCCUAUAGAUCAUCCUAUUCUUAUGUGUCUUUGGUUAUCAGAUCAAUUACAGAAUAAUUGUGUUGUGAUAUUGUGUCCUAAAUUACUCAUUAAUUUUUA